rnacentral:lncRNA from 1 species
GCAGGCUCUGGCAGCCCACAGGCAGCCACCAGCUCCUCUCCCAGCUGGAACAGCAGCCCCACAGCGAGCCUCUGCCUGGCCCUGGGAGGGGGAGCCCACUUCGCCCAGAGCCAGGGCCCGAAGCCCCUUCCCCAAGCUGCCAGGCUGUCUGGUGUGUGCUGCAUCCGAGGCAGGGCAGAGGUUUUCUGGGUCCUCUCUACUCCCUCAGUCGGACCCCAGUCCUUUUCUUCAAGGCAGCCCGAACUGUGGGGGCUGGGCCGAGACGCUCAGCCUCAAGCCAGCUUCUUGGUGGUGUUGGCCUCUGAAAUGUCACCUGGAAUCCACCGGAAGUAUUAAACCUGUGUUCCUUACCCUCUGGCUCAACUCUUUUCGCCCCGUGGUUGUACGGAAUGUCCUGAGCAAAUAGCAUAUCCAUCCUUCCACAGAUCUCUCCAUUCCCUCCCUCUCUCCCUUCCUUCUUUCCUUCUUCCCAUCAAUCUCCCCUCCCCUCCCCUCCCCUCCUUUCCUCUUCUCUCCUUUCUCUCUCCUCCUCAUCUCCUUCUUCUCUCCCUCCCUUCUACCUUUUCACCAGUCUACCCUUUCUUCCUCUCACCACUCAUCCGUGCACCCACAGAUUGAUGACUCUGCUAAGCACCGGUGCUCCCAGCGGAAGCAAACUCGCCCCUGGUUCUGACCCACCUUGCUUAUUCCUCCAUGCAAGACGCAGGCCUGGGCCAAGGUGCUUGGGGGUGGAGGAGCUGCUCUAGGAAAGUACGGCCCCUGCAGGAGCUCACCUGGAGGCUGGUGCUGAGGGGCGCAUGCUUCCCUGUCUGCCUACAGACUGGCUGCGGAGUGGGGAAGAGGACAGUGCUCCUGACCACAUUGCUGCCCAACUCCACGGUGUGUGUGGGUGCAGGGGGUUCAUGAGGUCUGCAUGGCUUCAGUGCAGACAGAGACCACAGGAGGCAAUGGGUCACAGUGGCAAUGACGCUAGCAAUACUGACGAUGAGCAUCACUUUUCAGCAGCCACUGAGUACCAGCAUUGUGCAUAACUACUGUGCCAGAUUCUUCAUUGAAUUCUCUCGAUGGUCCCGUUCUGCAGGAGAGGAAGGAAGAUUCAGGAGGAGAGCCUGGCGUAGUCCAGGCUCUGCCAUCAUCACAAGGGCUGGCAUGUGCACCCAGGUGGAAGGGCUUCAAGAACCUGUAUCUGUGUGCCGCUGCUGCUGCCUUAUCUUGGGGAUCCAGACUCUUCUCAGGGGCUCCAGUCCCCCCUUUCCUUAUCAUCUUCAAUCUUCACCCUGCUCAGUCUCCAGGAUGCCUGUAGAUCCCUGCCGCUGUGCCUAGACAUGGUCCAUGUUCCCCUCCUUGGAAUCUGCUCAGCCCCCUUGAAAAUGGAGGGAGGUUUGCAUCUCAAUUCAGCCCUGCUGGGAUCCAAAACACUCAGACACCCUGUUAUGGUUUCUAUAUGAUGUUCUCUCAAAGCCUCAUGCACUCAUAGAAGGGGCUUUUGGGAGGUGACUGGAUCAUGGGUGUGAUACUCAUUGGUGCAUUAGUCCACUGAUGAAUUUUUGGCUAAAUGUGAUUUGGGGAGGUGAAGCUUGGCUGAGGUGGGUCACUGGGGACAUGGCCCGGAAGGGUCUAUGUCCCUCCCUCCUCCCUCCAUCUCUGCUUCCUGCCACCAUGCCAUGAACUGUUUCUCCUCUGUGAUGCUCCUCUGCCAUAACACCCUGCCUUGAAGCCAGCUGACUAUGGACUGAAACCUCUACAAACUAUGAACCAAAAUAAACCUUUCUUCCCUUGACUUUUGGGUAUUGGGAAUUUUGUCCCAGUGAUGAGGAGAGUAACGAAGACAGACCCCUUCUCUGCAAGAGAAGCUUGCUAGAAGAGAAGAGGGCUUGCUAGGUCCUCUACGAUGCAAGUGUGCGCUCCUCUGAGUUGGGAGCCGGGUUGAGGCUCUUGUCACUAUGCCCUGCCAAGGUGGCUCCAGAAGAGUGGAUUCACUAGUGCAAGGAGGGAAGGCAUGAUAGGCCAAACUCCUGACAAACCUGGAGGCUGGUGUGUGCAUGUGUAGCGAAGCUUGGAGGUAGCUGCCCUCCAACUCCCUCACUGUCUAAUGCAUCACGCAGCCUGGCACCCUCGGGUGCUGUCUCCUAGACCUGCACACACCACCCUUACCCUAUACUACACUGGCCCCACAGCCCCAGCGGUCAUGCAGGCCUGGGGGAUGAAACCAGGGCACCUG